GAUGAACGCUGGCGGCGUGCCUAAUACAUGCAAGUCGAGCGAACAGACGAGGAGCUUGCUCCUUUGACGUUAGCGGCGGACGGGUGAGUAGCACGUGGGUAACCUACCUAUAAGACUGGGAUAACUUCGGGAAACCGGAGCUAAUACCGGAUAAUAUUUCGAACCGCAUGGUUCGAUAGUGAAAGAUGGCUUUGCUAUCACUUAUAGAUGGACCUGCGCCGUAUUAGCUAGUUGGUAAGGUAACGGCUUACCAAGGCAACGAUACGUAGCCGACCUGAGAGGGUGAUCGGCCACACUGGAACUGAGACACGGUCCAGACUCCUACGGGAGGCAGCAGUAGGGAAUCUUCCGCAAUGGGCGAAAGCCUGACGGAGCUACGCCGCGUGAGUGAUGAAGGUCUUCGGAUCGUAAAACUCUGUUAUUAGGGAAGAACAAACGUGUAAGUAACUGUGCACGUCUUGACGGUACCUAAUCAGAAAGCCACGGCUAACUACGUG
rnacentral:rRNA from 1 species